GAAAUGCCCGCUUUUGAGGGACCUCAUGGCUGCCUCGUCUGCCUGGUGUCUGUCCUGCUGCUCCGUCCUUUUUUCUGUCUGGUCUUUGACCUCCCUUCGAAAUAAGAAAACCCUUUUUUGUGUUAUUUAUUUCUACAAUCACAGGGCGGCUUAGGGUAUAAAAACACCAAAAAAUAACAUCAACAAAAUGGCCCCGCCCAGGUCAUACAUAAUGCUUUCUGACUAUAGAGGAAUCUUUUCCCCUGGUGCCUAAAGAAAUGGAGGUAAAAAUUGGGGUUUGGCUUUUGCUGCCCAACUCUCCCAUGGGACUCUGAGAAGAAUGGAUGGAGGCAGGAUCCAGUGGAAAGCAAGGCAGAUCUUUAUUUUUCUGCUGAAACAGAGUUCCCUCUCUUCCAAGGAGGGAGAGACCCUGAACAAAAGGGUGCAGGAGCCUUUAAAGCCAAAGACCACCCAAAAAUCAUACAUCCACCAUAGGAGGCGAUCUGCAGCAGAAAUCCCAUCGGCCAGGUACUUGAAAACAGCUGCUGUUUGUGUUACCUGGACAGCCUGGCCAUUCUUCUGGAAUGCUUUAUACUUUCCUGAAUUCAGGUCCUAGGCUCACCCUAUCCCUACACAAAUGCCCCCAUAAGAUGGGGUUUGUAAGCAGAAAAGACAACAGGAAGGUUUUCCCCAUUUGCCUCCCUUACUGCAGAGGAAUGUUUGAGGUUGUCGGGAGAGUCAAAAUGCCUUCCAGAUUGCUCUCCCAUACUUUUCCAGACAAGUGGCUUUAUAUGGGACGCGGGUAGUGCUGUGGUCUAAACUACAAAGCCUAGGAAUUGCCGAUCUGAAGGUUGGUGGUUCGAAUCCCCGCAACAGGGUGAGCUCCCGUUGCUCGGUCCCUGCUCCUGUCAACCUAGCAGUUCAAAAGCACGUCAAAGUGCAAGAAGAAGAAGAGGAGUUUGGAUUUGAUAUCCCGCUUUAUCACUACCCGAAGGAGUCUCAAAGCGGCUAACAUUCUCCUUUCCCUUCCGUGCCCACAACAAACACUCUGUGAGGUGAGUGGGGCCGAGAGACUUCAAAGAAGUGUGACUAGCCCAAGGUCACCCAGCAGCUGCAUGUGGAGGAGUGGGGAAGCGAACCCGGUUCACCAGAUUACGAUUCUACCGCUCUUAACCACUACACCACACUGGCUCUCUACACUACACCACACUGCAAGUAGAUAAAUAGGUACCGCUUGGGUAGGAAGGUAAACGGCGUUUCCAUGUGCUGCUCUGGUUCACCAGAAGCGGCUUAGUCAUGCUGGCCACAUGACCCGGAAGCUGUAUGCCUGAUCCCUUGGCCAAAAAAGCGAGAUGAGCGUCGCAACCCCAGAGUCGGCCACGACUGGACCUAAUGGUCAGGGGUCCCUUUACCUUUACCUUUUAUGAAUAUUUAUUCCAUAUUUGAGGCCUUUGAAUUCUUAGAACAAUUGGAGGGAAGGCACCUGGCAAGCCUUGCUGGGGAAAGCAUGCCACGUACUGUGAGCUACUGUGGAAAAGUCCUUGUACUCGUGUUUCUGCUCCCGUGGAGAAAGCCAUUGAGGAUCAGAAUCUGAGUAAAUUGCCCAUUUAUGUAAAGAGUCCUCACAGCUGUGGGGGUGCGAUAUCGAUGAUGCUGGGAAUGCCUUUGGAAGGGGGGUGCCCCUGCCAACUAGUGGGGUACAUUUUUUAGGAAGAGGGCUAAUAUCAGAGCUCUUGGGGUUAGGAGCUGUGUUUGUGGUGGAUGUCACAACGAAAAGGACAAUAUUUUAUUAGAUUUGUAUACCGCCCUGUGCCCGUAGAUCUCAGAGUUUGCAUUCUGGUUUGAAUCUAGAUUGGUUUCCUCCUUUAGAACUUGGACAGAUGGCACUGUAAUUUUUUUAAAAAACAUCUUGUUUUUAAACACUGGCCUCAAGUAUCAGCCGUGUACAGCAACAGGCAUGAUUCAUUAUAUUACUUCAGUGCCAAUUUGUUAGUCAAAUCCUCCAUCCACUGUGGAUUUUGAGACAUAAGAAACACGGCUGUUAAAUGAAAAUUAAAUUGUUCUGAUGGCAUCGGGUGCAAAAAUAAAUAAAUAAUCAAAUGAUUUGUUAGAUAUUUUGUUAAUCAAAUUUAGUCAUCAUGCAUUAAGGAAGGACAAAAGUACAAAGGAGAUUCAAACAACAGAAUUUACACACGUCUUCCAAAAGAGUAUAAUUCACUAAUAAAAACAUAAACUGUGCAAAACAGAUACAAACGUAAAAAUGAUGUCAAUAACCAUUCUCUUCCUUUGACAAUAAAAGCAAAUGUAAUUUCAAAUAAUAUGUUGAGAAACAUGUCAAAGAUUAGCUUUUCUUUUUCAAUAAAAAACAGCGAAUGAGAAUUAUUGGCAGCUCUAUAAUAUAUUGUUGCAGUACGUCUAAGCAACAUUUGCCAGUCAAAAACCUCAUAAUCAGUGACAUUCAAUACUUAUCUAGGUUAUGCUUCUAUUCUACUUAGUGUAUGUGUGGGGUUUUGUGUCAGUAUCACUUAUGUGGGUUCUCUUACUUUUUGCUUGUUGUGUUUCCUUGGUGGUGAGACAGGUUGGGGGUGACCUAGGGUGUGGUUGGUUGUCUUUGGUAGGCUGGAGUGAGGUGUGUGUGUGUGUGCGCGCGCGCACGGUGUGUGUGUAGAUUUUUGGAUCAAGUUAGCCAGAUUGAUUCAUAUGCUUGUUGUCUUGUUGGGCUAUGUAUGUGAUAAAGGGGAACCAUACCAGGGUGAAGGCAUCUUCUAUUUGUCCCCACAUCCGUUUCAGUUUAUUGGUUAGUAUUUCUAAUAAGGCUAUUUCCCAUUCUAUUUGAUACCAUUGGUCCAUGCUUACUACUGACAGGUCUCUCCAGUGUCUGGUUAUGAUGCCUCUGGCUACUGAGAGUAGGUGGGUUAUAAGCUCUUUAUAAUGUAAGUGGGCAUUAUUACCUUGGAAGAUGGUCAGUGGGACCAGUUCUAAUACUUGCUUAGUUAUUUUUGCAUAUAACUGAUGUCCAGAAGAGUUGGAUUUGGGAACAUUACCACCACAUGUGGAAGUAUGUGCCUGUGGAGGUGCAUCCUCUCCAGCCUUUUGGUGAGGCUCCUGGGCAUAUCAGCGCCAGUUUCUGUGGUGUUAGGUACAAUCUGUAAAUGAGUUUCAGAGUCAGUUCUUUUAUUUUGCUUAGAUGAAUUUAAAGGGAGGUUUAGACCACAUUCUAUUCCAUUGGGUGGGGUUAAUCUCAUAGACUAUGUCGUCUUCCCAUUGUUUUUUGAUUACAUCGAGGGGGUUUGUAGGAUUUUGGAGGAGUAUUUUUUAUAUUGUGGAUACCAUCCCCUUGACAUCCGAUUCACUCGAAAGCAGUGCAAACACCGGCAAAUGGUCCUCUGCAACUUUUGGUGGUGAAAACCCCACAUUUCACAGCACCCCAUAAAAUGAACCUUUGGUUCACUCACCCGCAGGGUCACAGUUUCGCCGCAAAACCCUACCCUUCUCUUUGGCCAGUCAAUCAGAGCCAAGGAAUUGGACUGCAUUUUCUGAAGAAGGCUGGUGUUUCUAGGGUUACCAUAUACUUGUCAGCUGCAUCAUGAAAUUCUGGUGCAUCAGUUCCCAUACAUUGGCAAUGAGAAUUCAUGCUGAACAGGUCCUCCCUGUUUCAAAGGGUGCAGAGUGUGGUUGCAUAACUACAUCGUGUUCUUUUUGGCAUACAAUGAAAACUUUUUUAUUUUCUCAGGCUUUUAAAACAGAUGCUUUUACUACACUUUAGGUAGUUGGCACAAAUCACUUCCCAUCCAACCCCCUUGCUGGUUUUUAGAGCCCAUAUAGACAGUAUACUGCCUUGGGCUGGGUUUUAUCCUGAUUUUCAUCUUAUAUUGUACCAAUACAGUUUUAAUAAUAUAUAAACCAGGCAACAAUAUUUCAAGACACACAACAGCCCCUCUCACGGCCCACUAAUUCCGCACUAGACCAUUCGUGUCUUUCUUGUCAUGCUUUCCUAUACAUUCUUUCUGACGCAAUCUCAAAGGUGCAAAUAGUAAUUGCAUUAAAGGUAAAGGUACCCCUGCCCGUACGGGCCAGUUGUGUCCAACUCUAGGGUUGUGCGCCCAUCUCACUUAAGAGGCCGGGGGCCAGCGCUGUCCGGAGACACUUCCGGGUCACGUGGCCAGCGUGACAAAGCUGGUCUGGCGAGCCGGCACCAGCGCAGCACACGGAAAUGCCGUUUACCUUCCCGCUAUAAAGCGGUACCUAUUUAUCUACUUGCACUUAAGCGUGCUUUCGAACUCCUAGGUGGGCAGGAGCUGGGACCGAAAGACGGGAGCUCACCCCGCCGCGGGGAUUCGAACCGCCGACCAUGCGAUCGGCAAGCCCUAGGCACUGAGGUUUUACCCACAGCGCCACCCGCGUCCCUUAAUUGCAUUACUUGUUGGUUAAUGUUGACAACCAAUAUAUUAAUAAUAAAUUAAUGGUUGUUAAGUCAUCUAUAAAGUAUUUCAAGAAGCAAGAGCUAUGCAGCGACUGGAAAUAAAAGGACAAAUCCCCUUUUUAAAAGGAUGAGACCCCCUUUUUAAAAAGACAAAACACAGGCUUGCAAUUUAAAAGGACAAGGCCAUAAGGAAAAAGGGAAAGAAAAGUAGGGGAUGAGAUUAAAGGUCACAGUCUUCAGGAGAAAAGGUGUUUUCAAAUACCGUUUACACAGUUGCAAAAAGGGUGAAGUGCAGAUGUUAGGAGAUGGUGAAGCCGCAGAGAAAAGUGGCUUUAUCUUAUAUCGCAUCCAUUCACUAUGUUUGAUCCAAUUUGGGAAGGGCUGUAGCUCAGUGGUAGAUGCUUUCUUCAAUCCCCAUCAUCUCCAGAUAGGCUUGUCUGAAAUCCUGCCAAUUAGUGUAAAGUGGGGAUGGGGAACACUUUUGACCCUGGAGGCCAGUUCUUUAUCUCCCCUCACCCUACAAAUCAACUUUCCCUCGCACUCCUUCCGCUGCUGACAAUUGUAAAAGUGACAAUGGAAAAAACUGGCAAUUGUAAAAUUGCAAAAUUGCUGACAAUUGUAAAAAUCUGCUGCAGCGCUGCAUGUUCCUUCUGUGUCCCCCCUCUCUUCUGUUCCUUAACACAAAAUGCUUACGCUCAACCUGUCUUGAAAUGGCUUUCACCAAGUAAUUUAUACGUUCCUUGCAAAUUACAUAGCACAGAUUAGGGAAGAAAGGGCACUAUGUCCUCAUGUAGGUUUGCCAACCUACAGUUUUGUUCAUUCAAAAUUGCUUCCACAGCUGUCCAAAGAAGUAUGAAUGCAGAGACCCAACACAUUGCCCAUAUUUCCCUAGUAAUGAUUGUUCUCCGGAAUUCCACCUAGGAGCAUUUAUUUCCCAAGGCAGUGCUUUUUAAAAAUAGUGAACCCGAUCUACCAGACGUGACACAAGCCUACACUGAGGAAUGGAAAAGAGUACAUAUGACCAAGGAUGCUAGUCAAGCUGAUGGGUACCAUGGCCAUGAGGGGUUUACAAAUAAAUGUUAAUAAAAUGUCUAGGAAUGCUUUGGCUCUACAAAACACACACACAAAAAUACUGUAUAUAAAAUAUAUAAAUAUCUACAAAAUGGAAAUGUGUUUUUCUUGUAUUUCCUUGGGCCACGAGAGGGAGCCCAAGUGUAGUCAGAAAAAAAGGCGCAGGGGUUCAGCGUGCCAAGGAAAAGUGCAUUAACAUUAUGUAGGCGUCCAGGAAUUCAGUGUCAGCUUAAAUGCACGCCCAGAUUGUAAUACAUAGAGAGUUUAAUUGAAAUCAUACCAAAUGUAUAUGCAUUGCUUCUCCAGCAGGCCAACCAGAAAAGCAGAAUGAAGAGUCAUUUUUCUUUCAAUGAGUGGUUUCACACCCAUUUGUUUCCUUGAUGCUUUCUCAAGCAAGGAUGUGCAAAGGUUUGCAAGGCAUGACACUAUUUAUGAAAUGGCAUCUGAAAUGAAGUUACAAUACUCAUAUCAUUUUUCUUCCAAUCUUGCUUUUCCACUCUUCUUAUUUUCACAAAAUUGAUCAUGGCUGAUAAAUCUAAAAACUACAGUGGUACCUCGCAAGAGGAAUGCCUCGCAAGACGGAAAACUCGCAAAACGAAAGGGUUUUUGGUUUUUUGAGUUGCUUCGCAAGACAAUUUUCCCUAUGGGCUUGCUUUGCAAGACGGAAACGUCUUGCAAGUUUGUUUCCUUUUUCUUAAAACCGUUAAUACAGUUGCGACUUGACUUCGAGGAGCAAUUCAUAGCACGCGGUGUGGUAGCCUUUUUUGAGGUUUUUGAGGACUUUGGUGAUUUUUGAAACUUUCCCAAAGCUUUUCCAACACCGUGCUUCGCAAGAUGAAAAAACCGCAAGACGAAAAAACUCGCGGAACGAAUUAAUUUCGUCUUGCGAGGCACCACUGUACUUCAGUUGUUAUUAUCUCUAGACAUGGACAUUUUGUAAAGAGCAAUGCCAUUCGAUAGCAAAUUUGGAACAUGUCACCAAAUACUUUCCAACAAACGCUAGCUCCAUAAAUAGCACGGGGCGUCUUGGGCAAAUAGUUCCUCUAUUGUUGUACAGCAUAUUGUUUUAACAUUUCCCCCCAUUGAUGUAAAGUACAUUGUUCAUUAGGAAGUUCUCCUGCACAAGUCCAUCUGAAAGGGAGCUGUGCAAGAACAGUGUGUUCUUCUUACAAAGGAGCACUUUUAUGCAAUUCCCUUUUGCCUUAGCAUUGCUUGGAGACAAGUUCCCGGUGGAUUGUAUCCUUAAAGUUUGACAUUCUCAUUAUUCAACACUACCCAGUUUCAGAUUUUGUAACACAUGCUAACUACAGGCAUAUAUUAAUGUAUUAUAUUGGUAUGUCAGGUAUGCCAAACGAUUCACGGAAGCCAGCAAAACAGAAUUGUGUGACAACAAUGAAUUUGCCCAGAGUGCUCAGCUCAUUAGUGUAUCCACAAUACUAUGCAGCAUACAAAUCAAACUUUUCUUCCUUUUAGUACUCAGCUACUUAUUUGCAUUGUACUUCUAUUAUUGCAUUUCAGAUAAUCCUGAAACAAUUUAUCCAGCUAAAGUGCUGGUCAUUGACUGUAGCUAUAAAGACUUCAGUUUAAGAGCAACCUUCUAGCAAACCUUCGGCAUUAGAUCCAUUUCAGUCCGGUUUCCGUCCUGGUUUUGGGAUGGAGACAGCUCUGGUCGCCCUAACAGAUGAUCUCCGUAGACAACUGGAUCGAGGCGGGUCAGGACUGCUGAUCCUUUUAGAUUUGUCAGCAGCCUUUGUCAUGGUCGAUCAUGAUCUUCUGGACCACCGCCUCGCAGACGUGGGGAUACAGGGCAUAGCCCGUAACUGGUUGUGCUCUUUUAUCUCUGGUCGGGGACAGAGGGUGGCACUAGGGAGGGAAAUGUCAUCGCGCCACUCCUUGGUGUGUGGAGUGCCGCAGGGCGCAAUUCUUUUAACAUCUUUAUGCGCCCCCUUGCCCAGAUUAUCCGGAGCUUUGGGCUGGGCUGUCACCAAUAUGCUGAUGACACUCAGCUCUAUCUGCUGAUGGAUGGCCACACCGACUUGGCCCCGAACACACUGACCAGAUGCUUGGAAGCUGUGGCUGGAUGGUUUUGUGGGAGCCGAUUGAAACUAAAUCCUUCGAAGACAGAGGUCCUAUGGCUAGGUCGGGAUGGCAUGGGGAUGAGGGACCAACUCCCUUCUCUUGCGGGGGCCCAAUUAGUGCCAUUGCCUUCCGUUAAGAGUUUGGGUGUAAUCCUUGACGCCUCCCUUUCCAUGGAGGCGCAAGUUACAGCAACAGCCAAGGCGACAUUUUUCCACCUUUGCCGCAUCAAGCAGUUGGUCCCUUACCUUUCCCGCCCCGACCUGGCCACAGUGAUCCAUGCAACGGUCAUCUCCAGGCUUGACUACUGUAAUUCGCUCUACACGGGGCUGCCCUUGAAGCUGUCCCAGAAACUCCAGCGGGUACAGAAUGCUGCAGCGAGGCUCCUCACGGGGUCUCUGCCAUGGGAGCAUAUUCACCCAGUGCUUUUCAAGCUGCACUGGCUCCCGGUGGAGUACAGGGUCAGAUUUAAGGUGCUGCUUUUGCCCUUUAAAGCCCUUCACGGCCUAGGACCCUCGUACCUACGGGACUGCCUCUCCCG
rnacentral:lncRNA from 1 species